GACGAACGCUGGCGGCGUGCCUAAUACAUGCAAGUAGAACGCUGAAGCGAGGAGCUUGCUCUUCUUGGAUGAGUUGCGAACGGGUGAGUAACGCGUAGGUAACCUGCCUUGUAGCGGGGGAUAACUAUUGGAAACGAUAGCUAAUACCGCAUAACAAUGGAUGACACAUGUCAUUUAUUUGAAAGGGGCAAUUGCUCCACUACAAGAUGGACCUGCGUUGUAUUAGCUAGUAGGUGAGGUAAUGGCUCACCUAGGCGACGAUACAUAGCCGACCUGGGAGGGUGAUCGGCCACACUGGGACUGGGACACGGCCCAGACUCCUACGGGAGGCAGCAGUAGGGAAUCUUCGGCAAUGGGGGCAACCCUGACCGAGCAACGCCGCGUGAGUGAAGAAGGUUUUCGGAUCGUAAAGCUCUGUUGUAAGUCAAGAACGGGUGUGAGAGUGGAAAGUUCACACUGUGACGGUAGCUUACCAGAAAGGGACGGCUAACUACGUG
rnacentral:rRNA from 1 species